GAUCAACGCUGGCGGCGUGCCUAACGCAUGUAAGUCGAACGCAGUGUCUUCGGACAUUGAGUGGCGAACGGCUGAGGAACACGUACGAACCUGCCGGUCCGUGGGGAAUAACGCGCCGAAAGGCGUGCUAAUACCGCGUACGCUCACGCAAGUGAGGAAAGCCUUCGGGCGCGGACUGAGGGGCGUGCGGCCCAUCAGGUCGUUGGUGGGGUGAUGGCCUACCAAGCCGAUGACGGGUAGCUGGUCUGUGAGGACGAUCAGCCAGACUGGGACUGCGACACGGCCCAGACACCUACGGGUGGCAGCAGCGAGGAAUCUUCCACAAUGGACGCAAGUCCGAUGGAGCAACGCCGCGUGGAGGACGACGGCCUUCGGGUUGUAAACUCCUUUCGGAAGGGAUGAAACGGACAGUACCUUCAGAAGAAGCCCCGGCUAACUCUGUGCCAGCAGCCGCAGUAACAC
rnacentral:rRNA from 1 species